UGAACACAGUAAGAACAGAGACAAAUGGCUUCUACAAUGAUGAGAUUUGAGGUUGUUCUUGCCUUUAGUAUUUUGUCUGCAAUCUGGUGUGGAACUGAUGGUCAAACACUGACUCAGUCUGAAUCAGUGGUUAAAAGUCCUGGAGAAUCUCACAGACUGACCUGCACAUAUUCAGGGUUUAGUAGCACUCCUUACAUAGGUUGGAUCAGACAGGCAGCUGGAAAAGGACUGGAAUGGAUCGCUUAUAUCUACUCUGACAGCAGCGGCAUGUACUACUCUGAAUCAGUGAAAGGCCGGUUCACCAUCUCCAGAGACAACAGCAGAAGUCAGGUGUAUCUGCAGAUGAACAGCCUGACAGCUGGAGAUUCUGCUGUUUAUUACUGCGCUCGAAGAGACACAGUGACACAGAAAGCAGAAAAACUGAACAAAAACUCCUCAGAGCAUGAAUAGCUUUAACAAGAAGUCACCACAGGGGGAGCCCUAA